rnacentral:rRNA from 1 species
CUACGGAGGGUGCGAGCGUUAAUUGGAAUUACUGGGCGUAAAGCGUACGUAGGCGGUUUGCUAAGUCGGAUGUGAAAGCCCCGGGCUUAACCUGGGAACUGCAUUUGAUACUGGCAGACUAGAGUAUGAUAGAGGGGGGUAGAAUUCCUGGUGUAGCGGUGAAAUGCGUAGAUAUCAGGAGGAAUACCAGUGGCGAAGGCGGCCCCCUGGAUCAAUACUGACGCUGAGGUACGAAAGCGUGGGUAGCAAACAGGAUUAGAAACCCUUGUAGUCC